AUUGGGGUUUAUUCUGAUGGGACUUUUCCUGUAGCUGUACAUCAUUGGAAAUGCCUCAUAGAGUAACUAACUCUGUGGUUUUGCUUUAUUCACAGGACUACUUGUUAGAUCUGUGGAAAGGAACUACAAGACAGUU